GAUGAACGCUGGCUACAGGCUUAACACAUGCAAGUCGAGGGGAAACGACGGGGAAGCUUGCUUCCCCGGGCGUCGACCGGCGCACGGGUGAGUAACGCGUAUCCAACCUGCCUCUGACUGAGGGAUAACCCGUCGAAAGUCGGCCUAAUACCUCAUGGCAUCGUCUGCGGGCAUCCAACGACGAUUAAAGAUUUCAUCGGUCAGGGAUGGGGAUGCGUCUGAUUAGCUUGUUGGCGGGGUGACGGCCCACCAAGGCUACGAUCAGUAGGGGUUCUGAGAGGAAGGUCCCCCACAUUGGAACUGAGACACGGUCCAAACUCCUACGGGAGGCAGCAGUGAGGAAUAUUGGUCAAUGGGCGGGAGCCUGAACCAGCCAAGUAGCGUGCAGGAUGACGGCCCUAUGGGUUGUAAACUGCUUUUAUGCGGGGAUAAAGUGAGGGACGUGUCCUUCAUUGCAGGUACCGCAUGAAUAAGGACCGGCUAAUUCCGUG
rnacentral:rRNA from 1 species